rnacentral:tRNA from 1 species
AGAGGGUUCGCAUAGUGGUCUAGUGCGCCAUCUUGGAAAGAUGGUAGGGGAGCAAUCCUCUCACGAGUUCGAAUCUCGUACCCUCUG